rnacentral:rRNA from 1 species
UCCGUAGGCGGGCGUCUAAGUCAGUGGUGAAAUCUUACAGCUCAACUGUAAAAUUGCCAUUGAUACUGGAUGUCUUGAAUUAGUGUGAAGUGGUUAGAAUGUGUAGUGUAGCGGUGAAAUGCAUAGAUAUUACACAGAAUACCAAUUGCGAAGGCAGAUCACUAACACUAUAUUGACGCUGAGGUACGAAAGCGUGGGGAGCGAACAGGAUUAGAUACCCUGGUAGUCC